rnacentral:rRNA from 1 species
CCUACGGGAGACAUCAGUGAGGAAUAUUGGUCAAUGGACGAGAGUCUGAACCAGCCAAGUAGCGUGAAGGAUGACUGCCCUAUGGGUUGUAAACUUCUUUUAUAUGGGAAUAAAAUGUUCCACGUGUGGGAUUUUGUAUGUACCAUAUGAAUAAGGAUCGGCUAACUCCGUGCCAGCAGCCGCGGUAAUACGGAGGAUCCGAGCGUUAUCCGGAUUUAUUGGGUUUAAAGGGAGCGUAGGUGGAUUGUUAAGUCAGUUGUGAAAGUUUGCGGCUCAACCGUAAAAUUGCAGUUGAAACUGGCAGUCUUGAGUACAGUAGAGGUGGGCGGAAUUCGUGGUGUAGCGGUGAAAUGCUUAGAUAUCACGAAGAACUCCGAUUGCGAAGGCAGUUCACUGGACUGCAACUGACACUGAGGCUCGAAAGUGUGGGUAUCAAACAGGAUUAGAUACCCCUGUAGUC